GGGUAGGGGGAAGAUGCCUUAAAAAUAUAGGCUUUGAUUGCACUAAUUAUCAGUGGGAAGGGUGAUUGAUGCUCCUGUGCUGGCUUUGAUGCCUUACUAACUCGGGUUUGAUCUGCUUGGUGUGCCCUCUGUCCAGGUGCUGCUACGUGUGCCACUCCUGCUUGGCCUCUGCCUCCCUUUGACCCUUGUCCCUCAAGGAGCAGGAGGUGACGUUUCUGCUGCCUUGGUUCAAAGUUUGGUUUCUGGUGGCAUGCGGGUGUUCUUGCCCUGGAUUGUUGUUUUCCCUUCUCCACGUGCAGACACGUGCACUUCACGCAGAUCGUUUUCCUGAGGUGUCAGAAGGAAAUAAUUUUCUUCUCUCUUUUGAAGUGGCAGUGACCAAGUGUCUGCUGGUUGCCUUUUGGCGAAGUGAUGCCCAGCCACAGACAUGCUCUGACAGCAUUACCGUUCUACUGUUACCCACAUCUUUCUGUCAGCUUUGCCCAUAUCUUUAGCAGGGAAGUUGUUCCUGAUAUUUGUGAACAAUUAUUGUUAUGUCUUUGGGGGAGAUUUUUUUUGAUUGGAUUCCAGUUAAGCUACAGAGCAGUGGUGGUUGAUUUGCCAGCAGGUCUGAUGGGUCUGUGGACUAUUCUAAUAACUUUGGAGAAGUAAACUAGUCAAAAAAAGACCAACUUCCAUAAGCCAGGCUUUUCUGGACUAGAACAUGUAUUUCCCUUAUGUAUUUUUAGAAGCUCUGAGAGUUGGAAGCAGUUGUGCUGAGCAUGACAGAUACUACCACUGGUUGGUAAACCCCAUGGAAAAGUUCACUGUCUGCACAAACAACUUAAUGUCAACUCCAUGGCGCUGCGCGAAAUCACAGGAAGAGUGGCUGUGCGUGUGCAGGGCUGAAUGCUUCAGUUCUCACCGGGAAACCCAAGGAAUGAAAACAUCUCCAGAAAAUGAGAAUGUUGCACAAUUGGAAAAUAACUAAAACCCACCCCGACGCUUAUUUUUGUGGGGGACUGUAAAGGUUUCCAAGAGUGUAUCUGUAUUUUCAUGCUGUGCACUGGAAGUUGUGAUGCUGAUAAAUGACUUUACUCUCUGCUACUAUGCUAUUAUCUCCUGUUCACCGAGCAACUGAAUUAUUUUUUAAGCUUUUACCUUCUCCUUCCUAAGGACAACAUAGUUAGCUUUAGUAGUACAGCUCAGAUGUUAUGAGUUGAGGUGGUUCUUGAUCAUCUUUUAUUAAAAUCAUCUAUUUGUAAUUAAAUGAAUUUAUGGGCAGAUACUCAGGCUGCUUGUAGAGGAGUUGAUGGUAAUGCUCUAUCAUAAUGUAUUUUCUAGAAUUUUUAGCAGAUUAAUUUAAAAUUAAUGUAAAUGCAGCUUACCUAUUCUUGAGUUGUUAAGGUAAACCUGUCAGUAUAUCAUCUGUCAGUGGUUUCUGGCAGUCUUUUUUUUUUUUUUUUUAACAUUUGCUUCAUUAUUAAUUAAAUUAAGAAUGAAUAUAGCCAUUGUAGUCUAAUUUCAAAACCUGUUUUUAUUGAGAGGUUUAUUUAUGUCUCUCUCUACUGAAUUUUUUUUUUUUUGUAGCAUUGCAUAAAAAUUUUACAGUCCAAGGUCUUGAGAUGAGAUGUGGACAGAGCCACAGUGUCCUUCAGCAGCUGCUGUUGGUAUUUCCCAAAGUGAUGCUUGGAAGUGCAAAAGUAAUCAAGAUACAUGAUGCAUAAAAGCCCUGGUCAGUUAUCAUGUACGUGAUGGUCCCAGCUUGAUGUUUCAGGGGUAGAAACACUUUAUUUUUUUAAAGUCGCCUAGAGAGUUUCACAUUUUAGUCCAAUGUCAGGUACUUGAAACAGUCAAGUUAAAUGUGUACCCAUUACAGACCUGGUCUUGCAGGUGGAAUAAAUGUCCAAGUACACCCGAAGAAUAUUCUGCAUUGACUAUGCGUGCCAUAUCUUGAAGCCGAAUCUGCUCACAGACACUGUGAAUGCGAGCAGCAUGCACACACCCCUAGCUCCUGUACCAGCGAUUUCCGACGUGCCACUGUUCCCGCUGGAAGCGCUCCGUCCUACCUGCAGCUGCGCUUAACUCGGGCUGACAGUGAUGCUGCUGUGCAGGGCUCUGCUCCGUGUCAAGGCCUUGGGGAGGAGAAAAGGUCGGAGCUGAAGGCAUACGGAGAGGAGCGCUUGGAUGUGGCAGCUGGCAUCUGAGUGAUGUGAGCAGCAGUUGUUUCCUGCAGGAAGACAGUGAUGUUUGCAGAAAUAUAAUGCGUGUUGAUGGAUGCGUUGUUAUUCCUGCAGGAGCAGUAUUUUUACCUGUGGCUUUCAGGAAUUUGCUGGAGUUGCAGUUAGUGCCAUGUGGUAGGUUGGCAGCAGGGGGGAGAUGCGCUGAGGGGGCUGACAAGAAGCAAAUGUCAAGUUGCUGUUCUUGAACAAGGACCAGAUGAGAAGUCAAAUCGUCUGCCCAUCUUGGAGGGAGAUGUCUCUCUCAACUCUUUGAUGCUGAAAGAUGGGCAACUUAUUUUGGUCAAAACUUGACUCCCUAGAGGAGGAGGAUUUUUGGUCUCUGGAGAUCAACAGGAGCAGAAAUUUUGCAGACCAAGUUCACUUAGCUGCUAUGGUAAGAAUAGCAUGAAGUAAGUGUUAAGGCUCAGUAUUGAUAGGCACUGAUGCUUUAUUACAGGGAUGAAGAAACAGGCAAAAGCUCUGUGCAGCAGUCGUGAUCAGUUCUAUAUAACAGCUUGUGCCACUGUCCAUCAUCCCCAUUUCAAUUUGAGUACCCUAGUGAAAUCUAGACUGAUGUAUUUGUGAUUAAGGCUACAAAAAAAUCGUAUCUAAAAUUUGAUGACACAGAAGAAACGCUUUACUUGAUAGCCGGACUCCUAAAUAUAUUGGAAUCUCAUCACUCCGACAUGAAAACACUUCCUAUUUAUAUUGCCUUUUAAGUUUUGAUGCAUCAUCCGAAAAUGUUUGUGUGUAUUUUCGGCUCUUGUGAUUUAUUGAGGGCUCUGUGGUGAGGUGAAGUGAGGCAGACAGCAUCAGUCAUGACCUCCAGUGCCCAUGGGCCUGGUAGCCGAGGUGUUUCCAGCCCAUCCAGCGAGCACGUGCUCCUUCACAGCUCUCUGCUGCUUGUGGAGAGGGGAGCAUCACCUCCAAGCCAGCUGAGGUAGCACUGAUCACAGGCAGCUAGCUCUGGGUGUAUGAACUCAAUAAGAGGGCCAGCUCUGGAAGCGAGGAGGGAUGCUGUCAGCCUGGGAGCCGUCCUUCUCUGCACGUGUGCGAAGUCCUUCAGAAACGGGAGGAAGCUGCUCCCCGCACAAUGUAAAGGGAGCUCUGGUGCUCAUGGGAUUUUGUGCAGUGCUCGAACUCGAGAGCUGGUGGGUCCUGUGGGAUGCAGUCAUUCAGCAAGAAAAACUCCAGGCGGUUGAAGUCUUGAAAGGCUUUAGCUAGUCAGCGUUUGCACUGCAGGCAUUACAAGUAGGUUUCAUUCUUCUGCCGCAGCUGAAGUUAAAAGUGAGCAUAAACUAGAAAUACUGUGACCUGUUUGGGGUUUUCCAUCUACUGGGUGUUCAAAAUGAUUAUUUUGAGAGAGGGAUGGUAUUUUAUACAGGUGUCUGGCACUUAAGGAUUGUCCUUCUCAGAAGAACAUUUAAUGUUACUGCUGUAUCCUUACACUGCUUUCUGUAGAUUUGGGUGUUGAGAUAAAAAUGAAGUGUUGGAGUCAUGUUUACAGUCAAGAGUAAUAAUAAAAAGAACAGCCAAAAUCCGUCUAUUUUUU